GGGGCGGUAGCUCAGUUGGUUAGAGCUCCGGACUCAUAAUCCGGUCGUCGUGGGUUCGAGCCCCACCCGCCCCA
rnacentral:tRNA from 1 species